rnacentral:rRNA from 1 species
CAGUAGCCGCGGGAAUACGUAGGGUGCGAGCGUUAAUCGGAAUUACUGGGCGUAAAGCGUGCGCAGGCGGUUGUGUAAGACAGGUGUGAAAUCCCCGGGCUUAACCUGGGAACUGCAUUGGUGACUGGCGGGCUAGAGUAUGGCAGAGGGGGGUAGAAUUCCACGUGUAGCAGUGAAAUGCGUAGAGAUGUGGAGGAAUACCGAUGGCGAAGGCAGCCCCCUGGGCCAAUACUGACGCUCAUGCACGAAAGCGUGGGGAGCAAACAGGAUUAGAUACCCGGGUAGUCCCUGUCUCUUAUAC